rnacentral:lncRNA from 13 species
GGCAGUUCCCAUCUACUCCGUGGCCUUGGCCUAGCACUUAACUGUUCCUUGGCUUUCUAUUUAUAGCCACAAAAGGAAAGUACCAAUCAGAUUUCCGUAAAGGGAUUUCCAAAACUCCAAGUUCCUGCUCCUGCUUUUUCUUUCUUUUCUUCCCCCCAAAUAAUUUUUGAUUGUUUAAUGUGGGAAAAUGUUUUAUGAGAAUUGCAUUCCUUUCUGAGCCACUGCCUGGGUCAUUUAAAUUAAACAAUAGACAAAAGAAAACAUUAACUUGAGGGGACUUUAUAAUAAGAACCUUUAGGGCUGAACAGGAUUGACUAAGAACAUGAAAGGAACUGGAAGAUUUGUGGUCAUCUAGGCUACAGGAGAAAAAAGUUGAGCUUUCUCUUCUCCUCCUCCCAACAGGUAAAACACAGACAACCAAAGCAAUAAAACUUCACCAGCCAGACAUAAACUGAUGAUAUAUGUUCCAGCCCACAGACAAGAGCCUCCACCCACUGCCCUCAACCAGUCCUACCACCUCCCAUCCCAUCCUCCAGGAGGAGAAGGUUCAUCUGAUUGCAGAGUGCAGUAAAGGGUGAGUGCCUGAGCUCCUUUGGCUCUCUCUUUCCGUGCAAUCUGCCCAGACACAACGAACAUCCCACCGGCCUCCUGCCUCCUCUGGUAACAAACAUGACCCAUGCAAGGUCUGCCUGGUUGGGGUAGGGCAGGGAGGACUUGCCCUUGUCUGACUGUUCUCCCUUCAAAUAGGUGAGUAUUUUCCUUCACUGGAAAAAGUGACAAAGAAUAAGAUGACUUGAUCUUUAUCUGACUUUUGGUCUGUUCCUGAUUGGCUCAGAACUGGAGGAGAAAGGAAACACUCACCUCAACCAAGUGACUGGUUAUUGCCCUCAAAUUCCUGUAAGUUAAAAGGCUUUAAAGUGCACUGAUUUGAGUUCAAAUUCUGCUCUUCUACUUACAUGUGUGGGUCAAGUGCCUUCCCUGCUCUAAUCCUUUCCUUUGUGAUCUCCAAGUAGGAAUAAUCCUGUCUGCCUCAUUCAUAGGACCACUGUGAGUAUAAAUAAGGUAAAAUGCAUAAAGUCUUAGCACAAAAUCUGACAAAAAAUAUAAUCAAUAAAUGACAGCAAUUAUUAUUGUUAUAAUUACA